rnacentral:rRNA from 1 species
GACGAACGCUGGCGGCGUGCUUAACACAUGCAAGUCGAACGGAAAGGCCUGCUUUCCCUUGUGGAUUGCGGGUACUCGAGUGGCGAACGGGUGAGUAACACGUGAGUGAUCUGCCCCCAACUUGGGUAUAAGCCUGGGAAACUGGGUCUAAUUCCCGAUAGGACUGCAGGGUGGUGCCUGUGGUGGAAAACGAUUUUCUAGUGGUUGGGGAUGAGCUCGCGGCCUAUCAGCUUGUUGGUGGGGUAAUGACCUACCAAGGCGGCGACGGGUAGCCGGCCUGAGAGGGUGGACGGCCACAUUGGGACUGAGAUACGGCCCAGACUCCUACGGGAGGCAGCAGUGGGGAAUAUUGCACAAUGGGCGGAAGCCUGAUGCAGCGACGCCGCGUGGGGGAUGACGGCCUUCGGGUUGUAAACUCCUUUCGACCGCGAGGAAGCCACCUGGUUGGAAGGGUGGUGACGGUAGUGGUAGAAGAAGCACCGGCUAACUACGUG